UACGUAGGAUGCAAGCGUUAUCCGGAAUUAUUGGGCGUAAAGCGUGCGCAGGUGGCAGUUCAAGUCUGCUGUUAAAUACUAGGGCUCAACCCUGGACCGGCAGUGGAAACUGAACAGCUAGAGUGCGGUAGGGGUAGAGGGAAUUCCCAGUGUAGCGGUGAAAUGCGUAGAGAUUGGGAAGAACACCGGUGGCGAAAGCGCUCUGCUAGGCCGAAACUGACACUCAUGGACGAAAGCUAGGGGAGCGAAUGGG
rnacentral:rRNA from 1 species